AAACUUUCAACAACGGAUCUCUUGGCUCUGGCGUCGAUGAAGAACGCAGCGAAACGCGAUAGGUAAUCUGAAUUGCAGAAUUCAGCGAAUGAUCGAAUCUUUGAACGCACAUGGCGCCCUCUGGUAUCCCGGGGGGCACGCCUGUCCGAGCGUCAUCA
rnacentral:rRNA from 1 species